UCCACCCCUGCACCACAGUCUGCACUGCACACGUGAUGCGUUCAGGUGCGCUGUGUCUGACCUCAUCAGGUGCAGCCUCUCUGCGUCCUUCUCCAGGGCGUCAAUCAGGAGGAAAGAGUCCUCCGCCGGAUCGUAAACAUCCCGGAAGUCUCCUCGUGCAGCAUGGCUGUAAACUGGUGUGGGAUAACUCGUAGACAUGUUAGCUUCACUGCUAACAGCCUGCGCAUGCUCCUACCUCGUCACCAUUGUCAACUUUGAUUUCAGAUGUUCAUGCUGCGGCCUGCCUCCCCCCAUCCAGCUCCAUUGAUCAUAACCAGCGCAUAGGAGGGCUAAUCCAAAGACCUCCUCACAUCUCCUCUCCAUCCCAUCUCCUCAUCAAUCCAAAUCUUCCACAUCAACAUCGGUGUCUAGAUCACAGGGUUUUUUCUUAUUUUACUCAUGGCUGCAUUUCCCCCUUAAGAUCAGGAUUGGGGUCUAAUCGCCAAAGACCAUUAACAUUUCUAUCAUAUGGCGCAUGCUUAAAUAAAUGUUUUUCUAGCAAAAAAACACCUACUGUG